GGCUCGGUAGCUUAGUUGGUAGAGCGCUCGUCUAGCAUACAAGAGUCCUGGGUUCAAAUCCCAGACGAACAC
rnacentral:tRNA from 1 species